rnacentral:lncRNA from 1 species
CAAUCAUACCUCUGUUUUUUGCUCAUUACGAUGAUUUUUUCCUUGAAUAAUGAACUGAUUUCCUGAUUUUUCUUUUCCUUCAUUUUACAUUGCUGAAGACAACCUGUGAGGAGAAUCAUCAGUUCACGCUGUCAUUGCCAUCAGUUCCUGGAAAUCGUGUGGAGCCACAGUCCACUGUGUUGGAGUGACUGGACUGCUGCAGCCAUGGAUUGUUAGGAUGUAGAGAAAGAUUAUCUGUAUUACUUCUUCGUAACCAAUAAGACUUUACAGAACUGGCAAUUAUCCUAUCCCUGCACAAAGUGUUUCUGUUUGCCUCAACGCUUGGAUCACUGAAUCCCAAAUGUGCAGUAGGUAAGUCCUCUUUCCCUUUUGCUGGAAUUUUUCCCUUGGAUCAAAUCACAGUGGUCUUUAUUUUCCAUAAUAAGUCAUGUACAGAAAUGAGUGUCUCCAA